GGUAAAAGUCCAUCUACUCUUGAAGCCACCGUGAUGAAGAGAGCACAAAGUGACAGAAAGAUUUCCAUGUAAUUCCAACUCUGCCAGCCCAGGCCCCUCCACCUCUUCCAGUUUCUCUUGGCAAAUAUCUGUUCUACUUACUGGAGAGCGACGGUCAAGGAGAUGACCUUCCUGGCUGCUUUAUCUACCCUCAUCUCCACCUCAAAAUAUUUCUCAGCUUCUCUCUUUGUUCACAUCUCAAAGGAAGAAUCAAGAGGGGAGACAAGUAACCUUUAUUGAAUGCCUUCUACAAGCCAGAAACUGGCAGACACAUUACCUCAUUGAAUUCCCACAAACACCUUGUGAGCACCAUAGACUGAACCCUGAGAUGGGGCCUGAUGGGGUUUGUGGAGGUCAUGCAAUGCUAAACAUAGAAGAUGCUCUGGUGGGCUCUGGUCAAAGUCACUGUCCCAGCUGAGACUAAUGGUGAGCUCUCUUCCAAUCCUACACCUUCUCCUGGGGAACCAGAGGAAAAGCAGUUGCAUGCUGUCCCAGAAAGAGGCAACUGUAAAAUAAGACAAAACUGCGAUCACUUAGAUGACCUGGGGAAGCUAGGCCCCAGGAC